UACGAGGGGUGCAAACGUUGCUCGGAAUCAUUGGGCGUAAAGCGCACGUAGGCGGCCACGCACGUCCGUUGUGAAAUCGCCCGGCUCAACUGGGCGGGGUCAGCGGAUACGGUGUGGCUCGAGCAAGCUAGGGGGCAAUGGAAUUCCCGGUGUAGUGGUGGAAUGCGUAGAUAUCGGGAGGAACACCAGUGGCGAAGGCGGUUGCCUGGAGCUUUGCUGACGCUGAUGCGCGAAAGCGUGGGGAGCGAUCCGG
rnacentral:rRNA from 1 species